GAAUGGCAUGAACCCGGAAGGCGGAGCUUGCAGUGAGCCGAGAUCGCGCCACUGCACUCCAGCCUGGGCGGCAGAGUGAGACUCCGUCCCCCCAAAAAAAAAAAAAAAGGAAAUCAUCUCCCUUUCAGACUCGCAUGCCCCCCUCCUCCCUGCCUGACUUUUGAGUAGGUUAAGAGAUGAAACAUUGAGUAAAGAUGGAGGUGUCUUUAUUCUUGACAGAUGUCAAAGCAGUAGGGAAUUUAUUGGGUCAUGUAAUUAAACAGUUUUUUAGACCCAGCUCCCUCUAUCCAGGCUCAAAGAAGGUUAUCAUAAUUGGUAUCUAUCUUUCCACUGCUCUCCAUACUUGGUCCAUGGACCCAUUUUUAUGUCCCAUGUAGUUAUAGUAUUGCACACAACAGUGACACAUCCUCUGUAAGACCAUACACAGUGGUGACAAGCCCUGAGCAUCAUUCCCUGCAGCACCUCUAAUGUGCCCUUGCACUUCCUCGGGGGAACUUGCUUCAGUGCAGGGUCUUACCCAGCAAGCCUGGAGUAGGGCCUCCCACCCACUGGAGAUCCAGGUUUGUCACAAGCUCCCAGGUGAUGCCUGUGACCCAGACCACAUUUCCAGGAGCAAAGCACUCCAGUGCCCAAGGCCAUACAAUUAGCAGAUGACAGAUCUGGGACUUGAACCCAGUCUGAUUGAUUCUACAGUCCAGGUGCCUCCUACCACUGCCUCCAUCUCUGUGAACACUGCCCAUGUCUCCCUGAGGGAAGUGCUCCUUUUCCUCGGAGCCCCUUUAGCAUCCCGUAUGUCUUUUACAGUGCCUGUGUUCCAUGUCUUAGUCUAGUUAUUUGGGUAGGCCGUACAAUGCACUGCAAGUAUUACCGUUGCUCACUUUUUCCCCCUUUAACUUCUCAAUUAGAAUCCUAUGAGAAGGUGGGACUGUUUUCCAGAAUGUUGCUUUAAUGAGGUCAGGGUAAAAUCCCUUCCCCUGCUUCUGGUAACAGUCUUACCAGCCAACUCUUCUGUGGAUUCCUGUCUCUGGUCACAAAG
rnacentral:lncRNA from 10 species